UUUAAAAGAGAUUUGCAGCGGUUCCAAAAUAGAGUAUACAAAUUUUAAAUAGAACUAUAAGGUUCAGGACGUCACACUCACACUUACACAAAAUGCUUGCAUAAAAAUUUUCAAUAAAAAAAAAAUUAAUAUCGAAUAUAGUUGAUGUUUAUUUAAUAAAUAUUUUUGAUAUAAAAGCAAGUUCUAAACUUAUAUGCAAUUAAUUUCUACCUCCGAAUAACCGAUAAAAAUAACACAGUUGGUCAAUCAAAUUUACAAAAAUCUAAAUUGUUCAUAACUCAACAAAAUACGAAAAAUUACUCCCACACAAUAUCACCUAUUCAGAGCAUGGAUCCCCAAUCGAUAACCUGAAAUAAUUGCGUUCUCGCAAGCGCCAAACACAAACAACGAGGGGUGAGCUUUGAAAACAUGUAAUAGUGUAAAAUAACUGAGAAGAACACGUAAAAAAAUAUUAAACACCGUAUCAUAUCAAAUCACAACAACAAGAAUAAUCAAAGUAAAACAUUGAUACAAUCCACAACAUCAAGUAAACAGCCGCGACAAUGGUGGAAACCCAUUUUUUAAAAUGUAACGGUUGGCGAUUUCGAACAUAGGUAACGAAAGAGGGUGUUUCGUGGAGUCCAAAUAUGGUCUUGGUUUUCGUUGGUGAUAGCCAUGGUGCCCGGAAUCUUGAUCAAAAGGUGGAGGUUUGAUUUUUGACAAAGAGAAAUAAGACGUUUCACAACGAUCACGAAUGUGGUCUCAAUUUUGUAAGGCAUCCACCGUAAUGAUCGAGGUUGACGAAAAAGAGAAAGAGGGGAACGGUUGUGGCGGUGCUUACACGAAGAAGAAGAAGGAAAC
rnacentral:lncRNA from 1 species